rnacentral:misc_RNA from 1 species
UUUUUAAAAAAAAAAGAAUAAAAGGAAAUAUGAACUUGAUUUAGAAAAAGGGGUCACUUUAUUAUUUUGAAACAGUGGAAAUAGAAAAGGCAAGUGGUCUGACCCGAUGUUGACUGGAGACUGAGCCCUGAAGACUCGAGAUUAAUAAGCUUGUAAUUCAAAGUGCUUACGAGGCACCAGUGUAAGGGUUAUUACAUACAUAACACGUAUAUAACAGUACAA